AAAAAUAAAAAAAUAAUAAAAAUAUGAAACAAAUAUUAUUAAAAAAAAGUGUUUGGAAUUUCCCCCUUGGGGUACCAUUUUGGGGUAUUUCCCUAUGAGCGUAGUAUAGGCGUAUAAGCAUUGACAAUUUAAGGAAUUAGAAAGGGAAAAUGAAUUUAAUUAAUAACAUUUGAUAAACAUGGUAUAUAAACUACCAAUUUGAAGACAUAACAGGUUUAAAUUCAUAAAAGUUUGACCAUUGUUACUACACGUUGUCAUGGUUGUGACGUGACGUUGUAAGUAGGCGGGGC
rnacentral:lncRNA from 1 species